GAGUGUACAGCUCAGUAGUAGAGCGCGUGAUUCACAUGCACGAGGUCCUGGGUUCAGUCCCUGGUACCUCCA
rnacentral:tRNA from 1 species